rnacentral:lncRNA from 1 species
GUUCGGCUUAGUCUUUUUGGAAAGAAGUCCGAAGUUAGGGUUGGACACCCUACUCCACCUUUACACAACAGUUUAUAAAAAAAAUGUUCUUCUGCAAUGCCUGCACUAGUUGUAAAGGGAACCAGGGUAACUGAGGUCUAAAUGGAAAACAUCCAGGGUGGUUUUCGGCUUUUUUUUAAGUAGGUCAAAAGUUGGGGUCGGACAUCUUUUACAGAAAAAUUAAUAAAAAAUUGUUCUACGGCAAUCAUUUUGUCUGAUUAAAUGCGAAGAGAGGCUGGAUAGCUGUGAUCUACCUGAAAAUAAAAUUCCGGGGUGUUGUUCUGUUUAUUUUUUUUUUAAGUAGGUCCAAAGUUGGGGUUGGACACCAUUUCCAAUUCUUACAGAAAAGUGUUAAACCAAAAUGUUAAACUGCCAUACUUUCAACAGCACAAGGUGCACAUUACAAAAAGGAUAAUAAAGAAAUAUUCUUCGGCAAUACUUUUGUCCGUAACAGGUGUAAAGGGAAGCUGGGUACUUGAGGUAUACUUGAAAAAUGCAAGGGUGUUUUACGGUUUAUUUUUUUUUUUUUUUUUUGUAAAGUAGGUCCAAAGUUGGGACAGGACAUCGCUCCCAACUCUUACAGAAAAGUUACUAAAAAAUAUUCUAUAGCAUUUUUUUUUGUCCCUACUAGGUUCAAAAUAAAUCUAGGUAGCUAAAAUUCUACUUGAAUAAAAUCAAAGGUGUUUUACGGCUUAUUUUGUCUAAAGUUG